GAUACGGAUGCAAAACAUGUAAAUUUUCAGCUUUUAUUCCUAAUAUGUGCAUAAAUGAGUGCACAUUUUUCACCAUACGUUUUGGUAUGUACUGUUAUCAUUUACUUCAAAUUAUUUUCUAACUUGAAUUGUGAUGUAUUUUGGGGGUUAUUUAGAAGUGUAUUUGAUAAAUCUUAAAUAUUAGGAGUUUCUAGGUGCCUUCUGUUCCUGAUUUGUAGAUUAACUGCAAUGACAACAAGAAACGUACCGUAUAUAAUUUCAUUUCUUUGAAGUUUGUUGAAACUUGCUUCAUAGCACUGCGUGGUCUCAUCAACUAUAAUUGAAGUGUGCCCCUCUGCUGCCACCUCGUGUGCAACUUGGGAAUAACACCUUCGUGCCUUUCAGCAGUUUUGAAGAGCCGGCCUUGUGUAAUUAUUGGCUGGGACACAGCUAACUUCUGACACCGCUGAAGCCGAGAGAUCAUGGACACCUGCCAGCAAAGGCAAUUGCUCCGAGAACACGAGAACAGGUUUCUGCCCAAGCCAGAGCCGACCGACCAGGACUCCCAGGACUCCCAGGACCAGCCCUUCACCCUGGUGACUCGGUCCUCCUUAAGAACCUACAUCCACAAGCCUUGGAGCCUAGGUGGACGGGACUUCACACUGUAAUCCUCACAGCCCCCACUGUGGCCAAGCUGCUUGGUGACCCCAGCUUGACGACCUGUCCUGGCACCGCCUCUCCAGAGACCUGUCCUGGCACCGCCUCUCCAGACUCAAGAGGACCCCGGAGCAGCAACACUUCUAUAAAUGUGAUGUAUUGGGCCCCACUAACGUCUGCCUUAACCGCCCUCCCCUCCUCCUUCUCCUCCAGGCCCUGAGCAACCUACACACACACCCACCCUCUUGUGUGGAGGUUCAAGGUCCGUGAAACCUACUAUCAGAAUGGCAAACAAGUCACCCGGCAGCAAAACCCAGACAGGUCUUUGCUGGCUGCCGUCCCACUCAUGACUUCUCCAAGAACCCAAGGGAAAGGUGAAUGUCAGCCUCCCGUGGCUGGCAUUCCCCUUUGGGAACCCGAAACUCCAGAGCCCACCCUGCCCCCAUGGAUAUGCUACCAGAUCAGUAAUCCGGUAACUGGGGGACAGGUCAUUUAGAACUGUACCUGAAACCACACCGCAUCCAGCCUCACCAAGGCCAGCCCAGGUACCUUCUUUUGGUGCAACGGCACCUUAAGCAACUGCAUGAACUCCUCUGACCCCGGGCCUUGCUUCGUGGUCACGGUAGUUCCGAACUAACCUUGUAUGGAGAGUUGGAGCUCGCCUGGCUGCUCCCUCCAUCCCACCCCCGGACCUGCCAGGCUGUCUUCCUCCCUGUCAUGUUAGGGGUGAGUAUCACUGCCUCAGUAGGCCUCAUGGGGGGGCCCUCUGGAACAGUCUGGUCACUGCUCAGGACUUUAAUGACAAGCUCCAGUUAGCC